UUGGAUGCGGGGUGCUAUACAUGCAGUCGAGCGGACAGAUGGGAGCUUGCUCCCUGAUGUUAGCGGCGGACGGGUGAGUAACACGUGGGUAACCUGCCUGUAAGACUGGGAUAACUCCGGGAAACCGGGGCUAAUACCGGAUGGUUGUUUGAACCGCAUGGUUCAAACAUAAAAGGUGGCUUCGGCUACCACUUACAGAUGGACCCGCGGCGCAUUAGCUAGUUGGUGAGGUAACGGCUCACCAAGGCAACGAUGCGUAGCCGACCUGAGAGGGUGAUCGGCCACACUGGACUGAGACACGGCCCAGACUCCUACGGGAGGCAGCAGUAGGGAAUCUUCCGCAAUGGACGAAAGUCUGACGGAGCAACGCCGCGUGAGUGAUGAAGGUUUUCGGAUCGUAAAGCUCUGUUGUUAGGGAAGAACAAGUACCGUUCGAAUAGGGCGGUACCUUGACGGUACCUAACCAGAAAGCCACGGCUAACUACGUGCCAGCAGCCGCGGUAAUACGUAGGUGGCAAGCGUUGUCCGGAAUUAUUGGGCGUAAAGGGCUCGCAGGCGGUUUCUUAAGUCUGAUGUGAAAGCCCCCGGCUCAACCGGGGAGGGUCAUUGGAAACUGGGGAACUUGAGUGCAGAAGAGGAGAGUGGAAUUCCACGUGUAGCGGUGAAAUGCGUAGAGAUGUGGAGGAACACCAGUGGCGAAGGCGACUCUCUGGUCUGUAACUGACGCUGAGGAGCGAAAGCGUGGGGAGCGAACAGGAUUAGAUACCCUGGUAGUCCACGCCGUAAACGAUGAGUGCUAAGUGUUAGGGGGUUUCCGCCCCUUAGUGCUGCAGCUAACGCAUUAAGCACUCCGCCUGGGGAGUACGGUCGCAAGACUGAAACUCAAAGGAAUUGACGGGGGCCCGCACAAGCGGUGGAGCAUGUGGUUUAAUUCGAAGCAACGCGAAGAACCUUACCAGGUCUUGACAUCCUCUGACAAUCCUAAGAUAGGACGUCCCCUUCGCGGGCAGAGUGACAGGUGGUGCAUGGUUGUCUCUGCUCGUGUCAUGAGAUGUUGAGUAUAGUACGCAACGAUCGCAACACAUGAUCUUGUUGCCACUUUUCGAUUGUCCCUUCUAGGGUGUAUGCUGUGAGCGACCGGAGGAAGGUGGGGAUGACGUCAAAUCAUCAUGCCCCUUAUGACCUGGGCUACACACGUGCUACAAUGGACAGAACAAAGGGCAGCGAAACCGCGAGGUUAAGCCAAUCCCACAAAUCUGUUCUCAGUUCGGAUCGCAGUCUGCAACUCGACUGCGUGAAGCUGGAAUCGCUAGUAAUCGCGGAUCAGCAUGCCGCGGUGAAUACGUUCCCGGGCCUUGUACACACCGCCCGUCACACCACGAGAGUUUGUAACACCCGAAGUCGGUGAGGUAACCUUUUAGGAGCCAGCCGCCGAAGUGACAGAACUGU
rnacentral:rRNA from 1 species